ACCCUCUCAGGGUGGCACCUGGAGAGUUUCCAGUCCUCUACCAGUCUCCAAUAUGGAAGGGAGAGUCAAGCAGGAGCCUACCCAUUCCAUUCCUAACUUGGGCAGUGGCUAGCGAGUGGAAGGCAAUCUGUUACAAGU